rnacentral:rRNA from 1 species
GACGAACGCUGGCGGCGCGCUUAACACAUGCAAGUCGAACGGAAAGGCCCCGCUUGGGUGUGGUUCUCGAGGCGCGAACGGGUGAGAAACACGUGAAUCACCUGCCCUUGACUGUGGGAGAACUUCAGAAACCUGGGGCAAACACCAGACUGGAGCUCCUCCGCCUGGGUGGCGCGUGAAAGCUCCGGCGGGUGGGGAUGGGCCCGCGGCCUGUUCGCCUGUUGGGGGGGUUAGGGCCUACCCAGGCAUUGGGGGGGAGCCGGGCUGAGGGGGCGACCGGCCAGAUUGGGACUGAGAUACGGCCCAGACUCCUACGGGAGGCAGCAGUGGGGAAUCUUGCACAAUGGGCGGAAGCCUGAUGCAGCAACGCCGCGUGCGGGAUGAAGGCCUUCGGGUUGUAAACCGCUUUCGGCUGGGACGAAGCGUGAGUGACGGUAACGGGUAAAGAAGCACCGGCUAACUACGUG